rnacentral:sRNA from 1 species
AGCAGCCGCGGUAAUUCCAGCUCCAAUAGCGUAUAUUAAAGUUGUUGCAGUUAAAAAGCUCGUAGUUGAAUUUCGGGGUCAGUAGAUUGGUCGUGCCACUGGUAUGUACUGGUCUUACUGGCUCCUCCUUCCUGAUGAACCGUAAUGCCAUUAAUUUGGUGUUGCGGGGAGACUGGACUGUUACUUUGAAAAAUUAGAGUGUUUAAAGCAGGCUAACGCUUGAAUACAUUAGCAUGGAAUAAUGAAAUAGGACGUUCGAUCUUAUUUUGUUGGUUUCUAAGAUUGACGUAAUGAUUAAUAGGGAUAGUUGGGGGCAUUAGUAUUCAAUUGUCAGAGGUGAAAUUCUUGGAUUUGUUGAAGACUAACUACUGCGAAAGCAUUUGCCAAGGAUGUUUUCAU